UCCUGGGCCAUUAGCUCAGGUGGUUAGAGCGCACCCCYGAUAAGGGUGAGGUCCCUGGUUCAAGUCCAGGAUGGCCCAU
rnacentral:tRNA from 1 species